AUACGCUGCGAAAAGCCGUGGGGAGCUGCGAAUGAGCUUUGAUCCAUGGAUCUCCGAAUGGGGCAACCCACCUUAAAUGCUUGGAAAAUCCAAACUGACUGGAAGGUCGGCUUGGGUUUCCAAGCAUUGUGAUAAGGUAUCUUACUUUCGAAUACAUAGGGGUAAGAAGCGAACGCAGGGAACUGAAACAUCUAAGUACCUGCAGGAAAGGACAUCAACCGAGACUCCGCAAGUAGUGGCGAGCGAACGCGGACCAGGCCAGUGGCAUUAGUGAUUAAAGCGGAACGCUCUGGAAAGUGUGGCCGUAGCGGGUGACAGCCCCGUACGCGUAGAUAUCAUUAAUGUCCUAGAGUAGGGCGGGACACGUGAAAUCCUGUCUGAACAUGGGGAGACCACUCUCCAAGCCUAAGUACUCGUGCAUGACCGAUAGC
rnacentral:rRNA from 1 species